rnacentral:rRNA from 1 species
AACAGGAUUAGAUACCCUGGUAGUCCACGCUGUAAACGAUGUCGACUUGGAGGUUGUGCCCUUGAGGCGUGGCUUCCGGAGCUAACGCGUUAAGUCGACCGCCUGGGGAGUACGGCCGCAAGGUUAAAACUCAAAUGAAUUGACGGGGGCCCGCACAAGCGGUGGAGCAUGUGGUUUAAUUCGAUGCAACGCGAAGAACCUUACCUACUCUUGACAUCCAGAGAAUUUGCUAGAGAUAGCUUAGUGCCUUCGGGAACUCUGAGACAGGUGCUGCAUGGCUGUCGUCAGCUCGUGUUGUGAAAUGUUGGGUUAAGUCCCGCAACGAGCGCAACCCUUAUCCUUUGUUGCCAGCACGUAAUGGUGGGAACUCAAAGGAGACUGCCGGUGAUAAACCGGAGGAAGGUGGGGAUGACGUCAAGUCAUCAUGGCCCUUACGAGUAGGGCUACACACGUGCUACAAUGGCGUAUACAAAGAGAAGCGAACUCGCGAGAGCAAGCGGACCUCAUAAAGUACGUCGUAGUCCGGAUUGGAGUCUGCAACUCGACUCCAUGAAGUCGGAAUCGCUAGUAAUCGUAGAUCAGAAUGCUACGGUGAAUACGUUCCCGGGCCUUGUACACACCGCCCGUCACACCAUGGGAGUGGGUUGCAAAAGAAGUAGGUAGCUUAACCUUCGGGAGGGCGCUUACCACUUUGUGAUUCAUGACUGGGGGUGAAGUCGUAACAAGGUAACC